UACGGAGGGUGCAAGCGUUAUCCGGAUUCACUGGGUUUAAAGGGUGCGUAGGUGGGUUGGUAAGUCAGUGGUGAAAUCUCCGAGCUUAACUUGGAAACUGCCAUUGAUACUAUCAGUCUUGAAUAUUGUGGAGGUCAGCGGAAUAUGUCAUGUAGCGGUGAAAUGCUUAGAUAUGACAUAGAACACCAAUUGCGAAGGCAGCUGGCUACUCAUAUAUUGACACUGAGGCACGAAAGCGUGGGGAGCAAACAGG
rnacentral:rRNA from 1 species